UGUUCGGGGCGCACUUCGAGAGAGAGAGGAGAGGCGCGCAGUGUUUGAGAGGGUCACAAAAAGAAAGUGAGGGGUGUGUCGUGUUCGAGAAGCUCGUUUGAUAGUGUUAAUCGGGUCUUUAGUCGACUAAAGGACGACAACAUCAAGUGUUUUUGUGAACUGUAUCCCGCAUUUCAUCAUUGGAGUUUUUGUGUCGUUUUGCUCUGUGGAUUGGUUUGCAUUGGACUGCUGGAGUGACGCAGUAAUGCUUUGUGAAGGCUACGAGGACUGUAAGUGCUUCUAAAGUACAGUUUUCCUUGAUUGACGACGAUUGAAGAGAUUUGUCACGUUUUGCACUCUUGACAUUUUAAUUGAGAAGCAGCCUUACGAACUAACGAUUCAACCGAACUGGUCACACGUUAUUUGUUUGUUUUGCACUUGUCAUCGCGCAUGAGAACUGAGAACGGCUGUACAUUGUACGUAGCUUUUGAGAAGGUUCAAGUUUAAGACUAUUUUGUGUAACCCUGCCAUCCAUUGACAUUGCCGAUUGAUUAAUCUCAGUUUGAUUCAUUUGGGGGGGUUGACUCAUCUUGAUACUUUUUCAUUUUUUUUUGGGAUGUUUCAUUGAGGCUGAGUGAUUCAAUUAAAUAAUUUUUCUAUUGACUGUUUUUUUUCCCCCAAGUUAUUUAUUAUUUAUUUUGAUAUUUUGAUCUAAUGAACAGUGAACUGUGAGAGUUCAUUUGAACUACAGAACCCAAUGUGAACUGUGAAUGUUCAGCUAAAGAGACGUUUCACGUAAGUGUUUCUAAUGUGAAAUUUCAUUGUUUUUGUUUUUUUCAAGUGUGACUGUUUAACAGUGAUCAUUUGCGCAGUGAAAACUCAAGUGGGGUUUACGAAAAAUUACAGGUGUUUUCUAAUUUGAAUAACCAUUGGGUUUGACUAUCGUAUAGGUUAAAAGUCAAUAACUUUUACAUUGAAGGUGAUUGUGGCCUAGUGAGUUUAAAAGAAAACUCAAAGACUGUAUUUUUUGCUUUUAUUUAGUGAUUAUUUAAAUUAAAGUAACACUUCAUUACAAGGAAGGAAAACGCAGAAAAUAAAUCCUGUUUAAUUUUUGUACUUACCUUUAGUGUAUUAUCUAUUUAUUUUCUUUUGGUUGAAAGCUGUCAGGGAGUAGGGGCGUCUUACCCACUUUAUUAGAUCAGGGAAGGGAGGAGUAUUUUAGACUGUGUCUCACAAAAAAUACAUUUACUUCAGGAAGCCAUCUCGUGACAUUAUUCUAACUGAAGCCUACCCUUGUCGGUCUGUAGAGUGCAUCUCAGUAAAGUAGGACACAACAUAAAUACAUUAGUAUAUAAUAAGACCAAAAGCACUGAAAACGGGGACUAAGAUCCUUUCGUUAUUCAGUCUUCCAGGGCAGCUCUAACAAAUUUCCUCUACAAGAUGGGCUAAAUACCCCAUCACAUUAAGAUGGAAAAUUGACAGGCUUGUGCUGCAGUUACAUGGCUGUUUUGCCCGCCAGGUCUCCGCAACAGUCACGUGACUGAAAACUAUGAAUAGCGUCCUCACACCAUCAGUGCUCAGGCUCUAAUUAUGAUGUCACUGAGAGGCUUGUAGCCAAGCCUGAGGGUUUCACCCAUUCAGAGGACAUGCACAGCUUGUCCUUGUUUCAUGAGAGAAAUUUAACCAAAGUAUAAAGAUGCAUGACUACAUCAAAUCAAAUCACUAUUCUUUGAAAUUGUUCAAGAAGUGCUAAAAUGGUUCAUAACUAAUGUCACAAUGUAUGGUGUAAACAGCACUGUUUAAGGCUGUCUUAUAAAACAAAGUUUUUACCUAUUAUGAUCACAUUAUAAUAUAUAUUAUAUUAUAAUGGCCAGGGAUGGCCUUUAAUCUCAUGAUGAUUCAAGCAAUGGUUUGGAAGAAGAAAGAAUGUUGGAGAAGAGCAGAAGGAAUCAGGAUGUAGCAAGAUGGAACCAGAAUGUAGACAGAAGUUGGGAGCACUAUUAGUGCUGGAAGAAUUGUAAGAGAUCAACAGAAGGGUUCAAUUCUAGACCAUGUGUCUUGUGUAAGUUAGAAUAACUGUAGUACUGAAUUUGUAUAGCAGUUUCAAGUUGCAUGUGUGUCUAUGUUGAAUUUGUUUGUCUCCUAAGUGGAACACUCUGCUAUCUUCCAUAUAGCUGCAGUUAGACCAUGUACAGGAGCAAAAAAUUGCCAUAAGGCUACAAUGUGGUUCACAAUUGCAUUAAACAUAAAUUGUUAAGAAAAAAAAAAGAGAGAAAAAACACCAAACUAAUGGGAAAGAACUUCUAUAUCUUCUAUCUGUGCAAAAAUCUUCAAUGAGAAAAAGUAUAAUGCCCAGUAUUUACUAACUAAAAUGAUCAACAUGAUUGUCAUAUCUUGAAUAGGCUGAAUCCAUUCAAGAUCAAAUCAUGAUUUAAAUUUGAUUCUAUUGAUCUGUAACCCAGUGACAAUGGGUGGUACAAGCUUUGAUUUUCCUUUGCAACAAAACCACAAACAAAGUGGAGCAAAUGUUAGCAAACUCCUCUCUGGGAGUGUCGGCUCACAUGGGAUCUGAUCAGGGAAGUCAGUGUUGGGGAAAGUUACUUUCAAAAGUAAUGCAUUUGUUCUCUACCCCAUUUCAAGGUAUUUGUCUGGGUUAAUUUUGUUCUGUAGCUGCCAUCUAGUGGUCAUUUUGGGAAACUGCAGAUAGUAGAUAGCAGGAAGUGAGCAGCUAGACACAUGGCCUCCUGUAUGUUGCUCAGUCAGUGUGCCUUCUUAGAUAAUCCUCAUCAAUCCUUGCUUUUGGAAGUUUAAAAGAGCAAUAGCUUUUCACUCACUCGUAAUAGAGUUGUGACAUCAAAAUAUAAUAAAUGCUGGAAUUUCAACUCAUAUAUCUCGACUGUAAUGGAUGGAGUUUAACUUGCUGUCGAACUUCAUAAAGAUUAUACAUGAAGGGAGGACACUACAGUGAAAAGCUAUUAAGAAGCUACUGAAAAGCAAGCAUCAAGAUAAGAUGGAGGAUAAAUCCAGCAAAUCUGGGAAAGCUUCAUCGGUCAGUUCUAAGAGCACCUCUUCAAGAUCUUCGGCCAGUGAUGUAGCGGCAAGAGCAAGAGCUGUGGCUAAAGUGGCACGAGCGUGUGCGUCAUUUGCAGAGAGAGAGCUGGCCAUGAAAAAAGAAAAAGCAAGAUUAGAAGCAGAGGAAGCCACAUUGGAGGCUACACUGGAAGCAUUACAAGCAGAAAAGGAGGCAGCAGCUGCGCAGGCUGAGGCCGAAAUUCUAGAAGCUGCAGCAGAGAUUGACGCCUGCCAUUUUCAGGGUCAGAUUCCACAAGGGUCUGGUCCCAUCUGCAUCAAGCCAGGACACACACAUUUUCACAUGUACAGUAGGAGAUGGGGUGGAGGUACUUAAAGAGGCCAUUCGAACCUCAUAGCACUCAUUGCUACAUGGCCCGGUAGCACUGGAGCUAAAUUAUACAACACAGAUUAUGGUAGGAUGGACACCACCCAUUCUCCUAUACACAAACAUACAGACACACCCUCACUACUACAACCUUACAGCAUCUCUACCUGGUAUAGAUCAUAGGACUAUCCAGGCUAAAAUUAUUCACAUCAUGCAAAUCUAGCAUACAUUAUUCACCUUCAUACACAUAGGACCAGGGAAAUUAUUUUCAUAAUUUCUUUUCAAUUGUGUCAAACAAUUUAGUGUUAUAGUCUUGAACUUCCUGUGUGCAAACCCUGUAAUGUGCAUAGAACAUGUGCAUGGCUAUAGUCACAUAUCAAUUAAUUUAAUUUCUGAUUAUUCAAAUCCUACAUACAAAAUCUAAAUGAGACAUUCAGCAAUGCAACUGGUCUAUUUGGACAAAAUGUUUAUUAUGUCCAAUCCUUAGCACUGUUGCAAACUAGGAGGGCCCCCUAGUUUCCAACUAGUGACUAAUGACAAUAAAAAUGCAUCUUAAACAAUUAGAACUGAAACGCAGGCAUUUCUGUCAAUCAGCUUCACAAAUCCUAGUCAGACCUGCAUUAUUGAGUGUGAUUUAGCCUGUACAUCAAAUGCACAGAUGAUGGUUACAAAAGCUGAACUAGAGUUUUUAAAUCUCUGUUUCUGUAAAUCUCAUUCUCUAAUUGACCUGAUUGAAACCUUAGUUUUGCAUUAAUGACUUGCAAUUAAAACAACUAAUAUAGACAGUUUUAUAAUUGUAAUUAUGAAAUUGUGUAUUUCUAUGUUUAAUUAUGUGAUAUAUUUUAAUUAUGCAUACCACUGGCAUAUAUCAGUGGCGAGCGGUGACUUUUUUAACCGGGUAUGCUGGGUGGUGCGUCAUGUAAAAAAUGUGGCUGAUGCAGUUACGUUGAAUGGGUUUAUAGCUAAUACGCGAGACGCUUGCGUUCUCUAUAGACAGUGUUAGUUUACUCAGUUGCUUGUUCAUGACAAAUAGCAACACAGCGAAAAGUAUUUCUAAUAUGUUGGACCUUAUUGAGAAUAGCCUAUAUUUACCUGUUGACAGAGAUGGGCAGUAUUUUAAUUAAAUGUAUUUAAAAUAUGUAUUUAAUUACUUUUGAGUAUUUUGUAAUUUGUAUUUUCCUUAACAAAGAAAAAAUCCAAUGUAAUUUGUAAUUAAAUACUUUGAGAGACAGUAUUUUGUAUUUAAAAUACUUAAAAAACAUUCAAAUAUGUUAUUUUAUUCUCAUAUACAAUAACUUUCUGUCCACUCAUUACUCAUUAGCUUUCCCCUAUUUUGAAUCCUCUUGUGCUCAGUCUUUUGUUAGACUGUUGUUGUAUGUUGUGCAAAUGCUUUGCUCGUGACCGCCUUGCCUUGCCUUGCCUUGCCUCUUUUUAGGCUCCAAGUACUGCAUCGCUCCAGCCCCUCUCUGCAUGCUCAACGCUUUCAUCGGGGAACUUAGUGAGACUUUGACACUGCGUCACGGACAACUCUAGUUGGUGUGACUUCCACGCUGCGUCAUGGAUGGCGCUAUGAUCUGUCCCUGCUGAGAGACUCUUCCCUGGUCCUGUGGACUUUGAUUUGGACUUCCUCACAUUUGUGUUCCUAUUGUGGUGUGUGUGUGUUUUUUUUUUUUUUUUGUUUGUUUGUUUUUUUCCCUGUGCUCAGUGAGAGCUAAAUAAACUUUUCUGUUACUUGCAACUGAAUCCAUAUUUUCCCCUGACACUUUCAUCACCAAGCUUAGGUAGGUCAUUUUCGGAGAGUCUAGCAAUAGUGAGCUAGCUUUGAAAGUAUAAGAUCCCACCUUCUAUUCAGAGCGUCUCCAAAACCAUGCCUUCUCCAAAACACUUGAACGCAAACAGCAGGCAGCAAUGAGGGACAGCGUUAAAGUACCUAAUAUCUCAAAACUUGAACUUAAAGAUCACUGACCUAUACCACCUGACUGCUGCAGAUUCAUUUCAGCAUUGAUAGUGUUGAUAGUGAUCUGAUUGGCUGAUGCUUGCGUUGGUGCUUGAAAAGUUGAGAAAUUUUCAACUUCUGCCAUGAGCAAUGCGACUGAAGUGAUGCAACAGAAGGCCCCCUUUUCAACUCUAUGCAAAAAGCAAUAUACCCUAAUAACUCAACACCUUAUCUUUCCCCUUAUUUCAUAACACUUCCUUUAACUUUUUUUUUUUUUUUUUUUUUUUUUUCCUAUUUCUCUCUUCUACAAGUCCAUCCUCUUAGGUGGGUGUGACUCUCUUCCUGAGCGGGUCACAUAAGAAUGUCCUUCAGUUUGUUGUGCAACAGGCAUAGGCUGCCCGUUAUUCUCAGACUCAGUAUCCGAUACAUUUACAUUUACUCAUUUUGCAGACGCUUUUAUCCAAAGCGACUUACAAGUGAGGAAUACAACAAGCGAGUCGUCAUGAUGAGGCAAACAGACACAAAAAGUGCUCACAAUACAAGUCUUAGGCAAUGCUCAGAGUAUCAUAAGCUAUAAUAGAGAGGGAUUAGAGGAAGUGAAAGGAUAGGUAUAAGAAUUUUUUUUUUUUUUUUAAGAUGAGGUUAAGUGCUCACGAAAGAGAUGAGUUUUCAGCUGUCUUUUGAAUAUUGCCAGGGAUUCUGCAUUCCGGAUAAAAGCAGGAAGAUCGUUCCACCAGCAAGGAACAGUGAACGAGAAUGUCCUGGAGAGUGAUUUCGUGCCUCUCUGUGAUGGUACCACAAGCCUUCGCUCCUUUAAUGAGUGUAGGCUUCUGGUAGGAGUGUAGACUCGUAAGAGUGAUGACAGCAUUUGUUCUGACUGAUGGAUUGGGUGGAGAUGAGCCCGGUUUCUCCGAAUCACUCCAUCUUCUGUACCAAUCAGAUAAGAUCUUGAGGCUGACGACUGAGACACCACAGAUCCCUGCAUUUUGUCCUGGCUGCAAAACUGGGAGGGGCCGGACGUCUGUUGUAGUACUGCUGCUGUUUUCUCCUUCCUUUUGUUUCAUUGCACCGGAACUCUCUCAUUCCAGGCCAGUAUGGAGACAACUUUUUCGAGAGCUGAGGUAAGGUAGUGCGAAGUUGCCUUCCCAUAAGCAGCUGUGCUGGUGAAUAUCCGUUCCCUAGUGGCGUGGAACGAUAUGUCCACAGGCCUUUAACUGUACCCACCGCACGCUCUGCUUCUCCAUUUGCUUGUGGAAACAAUGGGCUACUUGUCACAUGAUCAAAUCCAUAGUCAGCUGCAAAGUCCUUAAAGAGAACUGAACUGUACUGGGGCCCAUUGUCCGACAUCACUGUUUCUGCCAUGUCGACAGAACACCUCUUUUAGAGCAGAUAUGACUGUGCUCGAGGUAGAUACUUUAAGUCUUGCCACCUCAAUGUACCGAGAAAAAUAGUCAAUGACAAGCAGAUAGUUCUCUUUCUCCCAGAAGAACAGAUCAGUCCCAAUAUGUUGCCAUGGUCUUUCUGGAAUCGGCGUUGGCUACAAUGGCUCACUCCACGCAUUCCUGUGUUGAGCACAGACACUACAUCUUUCCACCAGCUGGCUAAUGUGUACUGACAUACCCACACCAACUGACAUGCUCUGGCCCUGAAUUUCACAAUCCCUUGAUGGCCUUCGUGAAGAAUUUUCAGUAUCUCUUGCCACAUGGAUCUGGGUAUGACAAUCUUUUGUCCUCAAAAGGAGAUCUCCAGCUAUGGAAAAAUGCCCUCGUUCUUGCCAAUAUAGCCACAGCUGUUUCUGUAGGUGACUUUUCUCUGGCCAGUCUGGCGGAUUUUUUCAUAAACUGAGUCAGCUUUUUGUUUGUCAACUAUUUGUUCCAGCCUUGUUUCUGUGGCUGGCAAGCCUUGCACAGUUGAAACAGCGAACACCUUCAGACGCUGCCUCUUGCUCCAUCUCCUCUUCUGAGAGCAUGUUUAACAGGUGCUCUUGACAGCACAUCUGCUGUGAUCAGCUGCUUUCCAGGCACAUGAAUUAUGUCAUAAUCGAAGCGCAUCAAUCUAAGAUGAAAUCUUAAGACACGAGGAGGGAGUUGGUCCAAUGCUCUGGUACUCAGCAAAGAGACUAGAGACUUGUGAUCCAUUCAAGGGUGAACUUUAACCCCAGCAGAUAGGAGGAAAGGUGUUCGCAAGCCCUCGUCGCUGCUAAAGCUUCCUUCUCUAUCUGCAUGUAGUGUUUUUCUGCUUCUGACAACCCUCAGGAAAUAUAGACCACUGGCUUCCAUAGUCCAUUUUCGGGUUGUUUUUGGGUCAGCACUCCUCCUAACCCAAACAACGAGGCAUCUGCUGACAGUCUAGUCUCAUAUGUUGGGGAGUAUUGGGCCAACACUGGCGUUGAGCUGAGCUCUUUCUUUAGUUUCUGAAAGGCCUCUUGCUGGGGUGCAUUCCAACACCAUUCUUUUCUGAUAACAGAUCUUUAAAUGGACAUGUGAAUAAAGCCAGGUGUGGCACAAAUUUGCCCAGAUAGUUUGCCAUGCCCAUGACCCUCCUAACAUCAGCUACACAGCUGGGCUCAGGAAUAUCCAUUAUCGCUCUCACCUUGCUAGGAUCAGGUGCAAUUCCAUCUGAAUUGUGUCCAACAAACAUUAUCUUGUUCUUGGCAAAGACACAUUUCUCAUUCAGUGUUAGUCCUUUUUCUUCACGUCUGCUCAGAACCUGAUGCAAUCUUUUGUUAUGUUCCUGUAGGCUUUCCUCAUACACCACAAUAUCAUCUGCGUGACAAACUACUCCUGAGCAGCCCUCCAGCAUCUGUGUCAUACAGCACUGGAAGUGUUCCGGGGCCGAAGAAAUUCCAAACGGUAACCGGUUAAAAGCGUACUGGCCAAAUGGCAUGAUGAAAGUGGUCAGGAGCGAACUUUGCUUUGUCAGGGGAAUUUGCCAAAACCCUGAUCAAGCUUUGUAAACACUUUAGCCCCGGCUAACAUGGCUAGCAUAUGAUCGACUGCUGGUAAAAUGUGCCUCUCACGACGCACCCACUUGUUCAGGUGAGUUAGAUCUACACACAAUCUAAUUUUCCCCUGAGCUUUAGGCACAACUACCAACCCUGCACACCAUGGAGUCGGCUCAGUGACCUUGGAUAUCACUCCUAUGGCUUCCUAUGUGUUGCAGUUCAACUUUCACUUUGUCUCGUAUGGAAUAAAAAGACUGUCAAUAAUAACACGUGCAUAAAUAAAACUCGUACGUGCGUAAUUCUAAAACUGUCAAAAUAAUCUGAGCGUAAUCGUGACUUUAUGAUGGUACGAUUCCAGAAUCUAUGAUCAAAACAGAUACAGAUACGACAUUUGCCACGUUUGUUUGAGUACGACUCCAAAAAUUACGACUGGUGUAGUUUACACACACGAAACAUAGUUUUACGAUUGCUGGGUUACGAGUACAAAGUCUUGUUUACGAGUACGAAUCAUGAAGCGACAAUCUACUGUCAAAAUUACGUCACCGCUGUCACAGGCAUUAAUAUACGAGUGAGAGAUACAUCGAUCACACACAGUGCGCGCGCGCCCUGAUCCUGUCUAAGGGGACCGGCUUUUUUACGCGCUACUGCAAAAAUGGCUGGUCAAGGGAGUGCCCACAUGGCGCCUCAGGUAAGUUAUUUUGUUCUUCCCUCAUUGAAACAUUGUAUGUCAUUAAACAUGUUAGUUUACUGGACUCAGUAAUGUCCGCUGUCGCUGUAUUUUUCAGAUAUAUUGGCCAGUCAUAUUUAACGAUAGUGUGUCGUGAAUUCCGUCACGGUCAUAACAGGUGUAACGUUAGGCUAGUGUACAGUCAGUGAGUGCAGUUUCUCUGAGAAAUACUUGUUAAAAUGAAUGUAUAAAAAUCAGUUAACAGAGUAUAUAAUGUUUUCUUCAUCCGGGUGUAGGGUAUCAGAUCAGAGUUGUCCUUUUGUGGAGAACUGUUUUUUUCAUUCGCUUUCUUUCAUUGUUAAAAUGGCAGUUGCGUGUUGUGCUGGAAUAAUCAGUACCACAAUCGAAAAUGUCAAAAGCCUUAUUACAAGUCGAGAUUUUGUAGUUUUUUUUUUUUGUUUGUUUGUUUUUGAAAAAAGGCUAUAUGGGACAUUAGGUAGUAAAAACAUGACUUUCGGCAAGAUAUCUCAUUUUAUGUAUGCUUGAUCUACAUUCUGGAGAGCUCAACUUUCUUUGAUUUGGGUUGGAGCUGAAAUCUGCUGGACAGUAGUUCUCCAUGAGCAGUGUUGGACACCCUGGACAGUCUGUGUUUAACUUCUGUCAUGAUGACACUCCACUAUAGUAUCUGACAAGAUGGAUCAUUUAACUUUCUUCAUUCAAAUGGUAGACAUUUACAAAUGUCACUGGCUCACUGCUCAUUUUCAAUAACAAACUUUUCUCAAUUUUGUUGUGUUAGCCUACUGAAUACUGCCACAUUUUGUAUUAAAAAUAAUUAGAUCAUGUUGCUUUGUCACUGGUAGUGUUACCUUGUGGGGCUUACCUUGUGAACUUUGAUUACUAUUCAUGAUGCAGCACAGCCUCUUGUGGUUUAUUGCUUAAUUGUAUAUCAUUGUAUAUCAGGUCCCAUUAGGUGACAUAAUUUCGACAGCACAAAGCCUGGUGUCAAUGCUGACCAGCACAAGGCUAGUUAGUCAGGAGAAUCACAAGAAUGGGGCCUGAGAAUCAAGAACCUCUGACUGCAGCGCACACAGCUUUCUUCUCGUCGUUAUAGUUCAUUUGAGGCAGUUUCCGUGGCGUUAUUUGCUCUGGCAGAUAUUGCGUGUGCGGCUGUGCGCGCUCAAACUUUGUUCCAUGUAAAUCAAACAUGCUUUUUCUCUAGAAUUGUCUUCUCUCCUGGAUUUAAUGUUGCUAGAAGGAAUCAACCAUCAAACUUACAUAACUGACUGUUAAUUUCUUUACAAUUUAUAGGUUUUAUUUUAAGUAUAUUUUUAUAUAAUAACCCCAUGUACAAAUUAUAUAAUUUUCAAAUAGCUUACUUUAGUCAGCCAGCUCUCUAGAUAUUUCUAUUACCUAUUUAAAGGGGUGGUUCAGUGUUUUUUUUUCUAGGCUUGAUUGUGUUUUUGGGGCACAGUUUAACAUGUCUUAAUGCUUUGUUUUUUUAAAAAAAGCUGUAUUUUUCAUAUAUUUUACCUUUAUUCUACACCUCUGUUUCCAUUGUCAUUUGAACGGCUCGUUUGACUUCCUGCUUCUAUGAAGCCACUCCCUCCAAAAUACGCAAUGGGCUCAGAUGGAAAUGUUAAUGAUGGUGUCUAUAUUGCUGUAUCAAAUUGAGCCCGAAUCAGACCCAGAUGAAGAGGGUCAAGCAGAACCUCUGCAAUCACGGCCUUUAAAGGAAGUUUAUGAAUGGUAUUUCAUUUUGUACUUGUGUCAGUGUUUAGAUAUGCUGUCACUGCUGUUUUUUAGAUUUCAAUAUACAGUUUUAUCCUGAUUAAAGCUUUACUGUAGCCGAAUACAUGACUGAGUAGUAGCAUUUUUGUAAAGGUAUUGUUUAAUUUAUAGCAUGAACAACUGUUUGUCUAUGAACAUAGAAGUUUGUUGGUGUUUGUUGGCAUUUGUUGAAGUAUGCACUAGAAUUUAGCUAACUGGCUAGCGAAGCAAAAACGUGUUGGUCUUUGUUUACGUCCUUGAUGCAACCAAAAAAUAGCAACAUAAUACAUUUAAAAGACAUGUACAAAACAAUAUAACGUACUUACAGUUUGAUCACUUUUAGGGGAGAAUACUGAUCCUUGGAAAAUGCAACAAUUACAAUAGGGUUUCAGCGCUACACGCUUGAACCUCUAAAACUCAGUACAAAUAGGGUUUCAGCACUUCGUGCUUGAACCCCUAAUUAUAUAUAAUAUAAUAUAAUAUAAUAUAAUGCUAUAUAGAGGCCCCCUCAUUUUUAGAUGGGGCCCCCCCAAAAAUAAAAUUCUGGCUACGCCACUGACCUGAAGAUAUUACGCUUGGUUGCCGUCUGUCUAUGCAGUGUGUAGUGGCAUUAAGGCAUUAGCUCAUUUACCUGCUUUCACAAUAAACCUGGUAAAUUUCCCAUACAAUAACAAGAAAAUGUUCUUAGGUCAUUUCCUGGAUUUUUUUAGAAAGGAGCUUAGGGGGAAAAGGCGCUUUGCUCCAUACAAGCGUCAAGAAAAUUUUUUUUUGAUGCAUUUUUACUUGCUCGACAAACUUCGAGAUGUAACCCCAAAAGGAACUGCGUCUAACACUGGCUGGACUUGGAAGACGUUCUUUAAGCAUACCUGAAAAUGUCACCCAUUCAUAGGUAUGAUUAAAGACCCCCUGUGGUGAAAAUCAAGUUUUUAAUGUUGUUUAUAUGUCUAUGUAGUGUUUUUAAUAUGCUUUAAGACAAACCAUGUGCAAAUUCAUAAGUCAGCACCAUUGCUGAGUAUUUUAUGUUUGAAACUGCAGUAAACCAAAAACCCGCGAUUUGAAAUUGGUGGUGUUUGUGAUGUCACAGACUACCUUGUAACCAAUCACAACAACGUGCCAGUAGGCUUUAGCAUAUCAUUAACUAUGACUGCUCUGAAGCAGGAAAGUCUCGAGAGAAGCCAGGUUAUCCCAGUAUAUUUUCUGUUGAUAAGAAUAAUUGUGUAGAUGUAUCAAUAUAGCGAGUUUAUUACGAUGUUAUGAUGAACUAUAAGCCUUUCUCCACUGACGUACUGAGUUGUUCAAAGCGUUUGUAAGGAUACUGAUUGUUAGAAGGCAGCUGUCUGACUCUAAGAUGAAGAACAGGAACGGUGUGUGUAACAUUAGCAGCACAUUAUUAGCUGUUUGAUAACAGUCAAGCAAAAGGCUAAUCAUAUUAAUUCAUAUUAAUUAAUGACAGAACCAUCGCAAGGGCUGUGCCAAGUGUGCAAGCGCAUAGGGUCUCGCGCCAAAGUAAAGUGACAGCUGACUUGAAGUAAAGCCAAUAAAGUUCAAUAAAGUUCAAUAAUGUUUUUGUCCUUCGAAAUACUUUAAUACUAUAAAACAUAGCUAAAACAAUAUUGCUCUGAGCGUGUGACCGUGAUUUGUGUGCAUAUUCAGUAAGUGUGGAAUCGCACGCCAAGUUCUGAGAUUCAGUCCAUUAUAAAUUCUGAUUUUGGCCGCCUCUGGAAUGGAUCAAACCAUAGAUAUUAGCCUACCUGAUGAGUUCAAGUAAAUACGCUGGAAGUACGCACUCAUUCAAGGAUGAGCAUUUAUUUCAUGUAGUCACAACACAAACAACAAAUUGUCACUGCAGCAACAGUAGACUAUCCGAGCUUGCAUGAGUGAGAGGAGGUGGGGCUAAUUUGCAUAUUCAUUGGUCCGUGUAUAUUAAAUGAGGCAAGGUUGUAGAGUUACAUUCAAGCUAUUUUAAGGCGUGAAGAUUUUUUUUUUUUUUUUUCACUUUAAUUUUUUUUUUUUUUUUUUUAUAUAUGUCAUUUUGGUGAUCAAAAAUGAUUUUAAGGGAUAAAAUAAUUGACUACAGGGGGACUUUAAAAAAAAGUUUUUGAGCUGGAUUGUCAUUUAUUUAAUAAUUUAUUAAAACUUUGUUUUUUGUCCAAGCUAUCAGAGAUGCUUUGGAAUACGUUUCCAAAACUUGUAAAUAUCUGUGGUGGGUGGCUGCUGCACAAGACUGCAGGUAUGUAAGAUUGUUUUAUGUUUUAUUAUACACCGUAUUAAGAUCAUAUCUACAUUGGAUAUAAAAAUGUGUGAAUCCUUCCCAUAAGAUGUGAAAAAUUCCCAUUAGAAUUAUUGGUAGGACUCCAUGAAUUCCAUUAAAAUAUGCUCAUAAACUAAAUGUAUCAUUUGAACAAAUUCAAAAAGCUAUUUAAACUGUCAGAUGGUCUAUGCGUCUGAUUACGGCAAACAAAUUGUAAGUGUAUGAUAAAGUUGCAGAUAAGUAUGUUGUUUGUCUGUUCUUUAUCUAAUUCUAGGUGGAGGUGGGCAGCGCAAACUCUUAGUAAUCCCUCCUGAUUCAGAUGGUUAUAAUGGAAACCAGCUGAAAUCAGUGAGUGGCAAUGGAAAGUCCACAAUGUAUAUAGUUCCACUUAAAAAAAAAACUCGACACUACUCCUUUGCCAUCUGAUGCAGAGGAGUUGGAGAACAUGCCCAAAGCACAAUGUUCAGUGUGCAGUGAAAUGUUUCCUCUGCAGUGUCUUCCGAUGCAUAUAAAGGAAUGCAAGGAUGACCAUGUCAUUUCGUUUACAUCAACUGAUGAGGAACUGGAGAGGUCUCCAGAAGCCAACAACUCAAAUUCCUUUUUGACUGAAAAGGAUUUGGAGAAGUCCCCACUGCAAGAAAAUUCUAUGGACAUUCGAACUGAAAAUGAAUUACAGAAGUUCCCUGAAUCGGGCACCUCUGAAAUCUGGACAGAGAAGACUGCUGAAUGUCCAGUGUGCAAGAACACGUUCGAUAGUGAUAUCAUUGAGAUUCAUGCAUCAGACUGUGGAUUACGAUCUGCAGAACCUGAGGAUGAGAACGACAAGUUAAGUCUUCCUACAGAGACCUUUCAAAGUUCUGGGGACAUUUUGAAUUCAAUCAGCUGUAGAGUUGAUGAAACCAACACCUUUUCCAUCUGCGUGUCACGAAUCGACAUCUUCAUUAGAGGCAUGCAACAGUGGCAGCGUCAAAAGAAAUCUUCCCCUAAAUCCAGACUAAAGGUUACCUUCUUUGGGGAAGCAGGCAUAGACACUGGUGCCCUACGCAAAGAGUUUCUAACAAGUACAAAUGGUUGUUUGUAAUUUUGAAAGCAGGCACUGAACAGAUUUUGAAUUUACUCUAAUUGCUGUUGUCUAGAAAUGCUUGCAGAGAUUGAAAGGAGACUAUUCAUCUGUGGAGCAGACAAAAGGGGAAAGAAUCCUCUCUACUGUGUUAACAGCGUGGACCAGAAUUACUUCAGAAUAGAAGAGUAGAAUACUAGAAUACUACUUCUAGUUCUGUCUCAUUUAAUUUAAAAUCAUUUUUGGUACUUGCUGAUACAGAGUACCGAUACCUGUAUUGUCAUUGCAUUUGUAUUUAAAAAAAAAAAAAAGGAAAAGAAAUUAUAUGUAUAUGUAUGCAGUAUCUCACAGAAGUGAGUACACUACUCACAUUUUUGUAAAUAUUAUAUUGUAUCUUUUAGUAGGGAGUGUGCAAAAGUGAGUACACCCCUAAGGCUGCGUUUACACUUGGCAUUAAUAUGUGAUCACCGUGAUCCGAUCAAGCAGAUCAGAUCAUUAGCCAAUCAGGACACAGCACGUUUAUAUUUGUUCACAUUAAGUGGCCUCUGUAUCUGGAUAACUGAUCGGAUUUCUGUUUCCCGCACAAUAUUUAAAUUAGGCGCGUUUGAAAGGCAGAAGCUUCAAAUGGCUUCAUAGCAUAAAACAACUUUCACUUUAGCCUCUAUCAAUGCAGUGCACACAGCACGAAAUUUUUGUGAUUACUUCCACAAAAGUACAGUCGAUCACAAAUAGAGAACUUAAUCUACCAAUUUAAGUUUCCCAACAUUAAUCUUGUAUGGUGAAAAAAAAAAAUAUAUAUAUAUUUCCACGCAUUUCAUGAUUGAAAGGAGCGCGCAAGCAUUUGUAUUGUUUGUAUAAUAUGUAACGGCAGAAUUCAAACACUUUGUAUUAAAGAAAUAAAAGAACGCACAUCACAUUAAAGAGCAUUAAUUAGAACUAAACAAGGGUAAAGACGAUACAAAUUAAACAAUGUCCUAUUGCUUUCACUCACUUACACUGUAAACCCCAAUGUUGUCCUUAAUAAAGAUAUCAAGUUAUCAUAACUUAACAUUACUUAAAUAAGCAGUAUCUGCUUAUUUCCUGCUUAUCACUUUUAUUUAUUAGAUUUGUUCUGUUUUCUCUAAUUUGUAAUUUUUAACAGACUUACUGUUUAUCAAUUUUCAGUUACGUCUGUAAUUUCACAUAUCAAUUACAAAUUUUGCUGGUUGUUUAAAUUGUCUUGUCCCAAUUAAAGUUAAAUGUAUCUAUCCUA